UAGGGAAUCUUGCGCAAUGGGGGGAAACCCUGACGCAGCGACGCCGCGUGCGGGAUGAAGGCCCUCGGGUUGUAAACCGCUUUCAGCAGGGACGAAAUUGACGGUACCUGCAGAAGAAGGCCCGGCCAACUACGUGCCAGCAGCCGCGGUAAUACGUAGGGGCCAAGCGUUGUCCGGAUUUAUUGGGCGUAAAGAGCUCGUAGGUGGUUCGGCAAGUCAGUUGUGAAAUCUCCGCGCUCAACGCGGAGGGGUCAGCUGAAACUGCUGUGACUUGAGUCUGGUAGGGGAGUGUGGAAUUCCCGGUGUAGCGGUGAAAUGCGCAGAUAUCGGGAGGAACACCAGUGGCGAAGGCGGCACUCUGGGGCCAGUACUGACACUGAGGAGCGAAAGCGUGGGGAGCGAACAGGAUUAGAUACCCUGGUAGUCCACGCCGUAAACGUUGGGCACUAGGUGUGGGGACCUAUCGACGGUUUCCGUGCCGUAGCUAACGCAUUAAGUG
rnacentral:rRNA from 1 species